rnacentral:rRNA from 1 species
AACGAACGCUGGCGGCAGGCCUAACACAUGCAAGUCGAGCGAACCGCAAGGUUAGCGGCGGACGGGUUAGUAACGCGUGGGAACGUGCCCAAAGGUACGGAAUAGCCUCGGGAAACUGAGAGUAAUACCGUAUGUGCCCGAAAGGGGAAAGAUUUAUCGCCUUUGGAUCGGCCCGCGUUGGGUUAGGUAGUUGGUGGGGUAACGGCCUACCAAGCCGACGAUCCAUAGCUGGUUUGAGAGGAUGAUCAGCAACACUGAGACUGAGACACGGCCCAGACUCCUACGGGAGGCAGCAGUGGGGAAUAUUGGACAAUGGGCGAAAGCCUGAUCCAGCAAUGCCGCGUGAGUGAUGAAGGCCUUAGGGUUGUAAAGCUCUUUUACCAGGGAUGAUAAUGACAGUACCUGGAGAAUAAGCUCCGGCUAACUCCGUGCCAGCCGCCGCCGUAACAC